UGUUUUCAGGGAUAGGUGAAAUUCCUUACCGGUGGUAAUAGUCCACGAAUGGUUCGCCAUAGAUUCGGUGUAAUUCCGAAACCGACAGUUAAAGUCCGGAUGGGAGAAAACG
rnacentral:ncRNA from 1 species